rnacentral:lncRNA from 1 species
UCCUGAAUCUGCUGAUUGUUGGCAUAUCAUCAGUUGAUUGCGUUCAGGUUUUCUCCCUCCAUGGCUUGGUAAGAUCCCCUUUCAACUUGCUUCUUUGUUUCAAGUUCUCCCCUUUCAACAUGCUGCUUUGUUCAUGUUCUUCACUUGCUGCAAAACAAUAAUCAAUCACCAGCAAUGAUUAGGACUUUAAAGGAACGCCAAGAAUUCGGAGAGACUUUUACAUGAAACUUGAUAUCUAAAAAUGUUGGCAAAGCAAUGAAUACUAAAAUGAGUAUGUUCUUUUACUUGUCUUUAUCAGAUCCCACAUCUUGCGAGCUCGCUGAUGCCUAUCUGCGAGGUUUUCGGAUCUUGUGUGCCUGAUGUGUCAUGGAAGCUUCCCAAUGGUGAUGAAAUCUCUGCCCAUGCUGUAUUUUCAAAUGCAUUUGCUGUUCUUU